UCCCUGGUGGCUCAGAUGGUAAAGCAUCUGCCUGCAAUGCAGGAGACCCAGGUUCGGUCCCUGGGUCGGGAA
rnacentral:tRNA from 1 species